UACGUGGGGUGCGAGCGUUGUUCGGAAUUACUGGGCGUAAAGCGCGUGUAGGCGGCCUAUUAUGUCAGGUGUGAAAGCCCUCGGCCUAACCGAGGAAGUGCGCCUGAAACUGCUAGGCUUGAGUACGAGAGAGGAGGACGGAAUUCCCAGUGUAGAGGUGAAAUUCGUAGAUAUUGGGAGGAACACCGGCGGCGAAAGUGGUUCUCUGGAUCGAUACUGACUCUAAGUCGCGAAAGCGUGGGGAGCAAACAGG
rnacentral:rRNA from 1 species